UGGGGAAUAUUGGACAAUGGGCGAAAGCAUGAUCCAGCCAUGCCGCGUGUGUGAAGAAGGUCUUCGGAUUGUAAAGCACUUUAAGUUGGGAGGAAGGGCAUUAACCUAAUACGUUAGUGUUUUGACGUUACCGACAGAAUAAGCACCGGCUAACUCUGUGCCAGCAGCCGCGGUAAUACAGAGGGUGCAAGCGUUAAUCGGAAUUACUGGGCGUAAAGCGCGCGUAGGUGGUUUGUUAAGUUGGAUGUGAAAUCCCCGGGCUCAACCUGGGAACUGCAUUCAAAACUGACUGACUAGAGUAUGGUAGAGGGUGGUGGAAUUUCCUGUGUAGCGGUGAAAUGCGUAGAUAUAGGAAGGAACACCAGUGGCGAAGGCGACCACCUGGACUAAUACUGACACUGAGGUGCGAAAGCGUGGGGAGCAAACA
rnacentral:rRNA from 1 species